rnacentral:piRNA from 1 species
UACCUUAACGUCCAAGUUAACACGGUCAACC